rnacentral:rRNA from 1 species
GACGAACGCUGGCGGCGUGCUUAACACAUGCAAGUCGAACGGAAAGGCCCUUCGGGGUACUCGAGUGGCGAACGGGUGAGUAACACGUGGGUGAUCUGCCCUGCACUUUGGGAUAAGCCUGGGAAACUGGGUCUAAUACCGAAUAGGACCACGCGCUUCAUGGUGUGUGGUGGAAAGCUUUUGCGGUGUGGGAUGGGCCCGCGGCCUAUCAGCUUGUUGGUGGGGUAAUGGCCUACCAAGGCGACGACGGGUAGCCGGCCUGAGAGGGUGACCGGCCACACUGGGACUGAGAUACGGCCCAGACUCCUACGGGAGGCAGCAGUGGGGAAUAUUGCACAAUGGGCGCAAGCCGGAUGCAGCGACGCCGCGUGAGGGAGGACGGCCUUCGGGUUGUAAACCUCUUUCACCAGGGACGAAGCGUAAGUGACGGGACCUGGAGAAGAAGCACAGGACAACUACGU